rnacentral:siRNA from 1 species
GUCGAGUGUGGCCUGAAAUUC